rnacentral:rRNA from 1 species
GUAGGGUGCGAGCGUUAAUCGGAAUUACUGGGCGUAAAGCGUGCGCAGGCGGUCUUGUAAGACAGAGGUGAAAUCCCUGGGCUCAACCUAGGAAUGGCCUUUGUGACUGCAAGGCUGGAGUGCGGCAGAGGGGGAUGGAAUUCCGCGUGUAGCAGUGAAAUGCGUAGAUAUGCGGAGGAACACCGAUGGCGAAGGCAGUCCCCUGGGCCUGCACUGACGCUCAUGCACGAAAGCGUGGGGAGCAAACAGGAUUAGAUACCCUGGUAGUCCCACGCCCCUAAACGAUGUCGACUGGUUGUUGGGCCUUAGGUGGCUCAGUAACGAAGCUAACGCGUGAAGUCGACCGCCUGGGGAGUACGGCCGCAAGGUUG